CCAACAGUGCCUUGUGUGAUGUCACUGGGCUCUGAGAGCCAGCCUGUGGUGGCCUGCUGAACACUCUGUUGCUGUAAGGCAACCCAGCAUGAUCUAGUACCACCUAGAAAAUUACAUCUUUUCAUCACUCACAGACCUGAUUCCACUUAUGACUCUGGUUGUCAAAUAACUUUAAAAGCUGCCAGAAAGGCAGCCUCAUUGACAGGAAAUUAGAACUUAAAAAUGUGAAACCCACAAUGAAAAGUGUCAUAAUUCAGGGUUUAUUCUGUGGAUUCCUGGCCAUCGGGCUCUGGGCAUCUAUGUUACUUUUGUUUUUGCACCUUGAACAAGAAGACAUGCUGGAGAAUGAAAAGGAGGAACUCCUAAAGAAGAGGUCACUCGGAAAAAAUGCGCACCAGCAAACCCGUCACUCAGAGGACGUCACUCAUGAUGAGGUUAACUUUUCAGAUCCAGAACUUAUCCAAGGAUUGAGGCGAUAUGGAUUAAAUGCCAUCAUGAGUAGAAGACUGGGCAUCGAGAGAGAGGUGCCAGAUUCCAGGGAUAAAAUAUGUCAGCAGAAACACUACCCAUUCAAUCUACCCACUGCCAGCAUCAUCAUAUGCUUCUAUAAUGAAGAAUUUAACACCUUGCUCCGGGCAGUGUCGAGUGUGGUGAACCUCAGUCCGCAGCAUCUCCUGGAGGAGAUCAUUCUGGUGGAUGACAUGAGUGAAUUUGAUGAUUUGAAGGACAAACUGGACUAUUAUCUGGAAAUUUUUCGUGGAAAAGUUAAAUUAAUAAGAAACAAAAAGAGAGAGGGUCUUAUCAGAUCAAAGAUGAUUGGCGCCUCCCGGGCUUCAGGGGACAUCCUGGUGUUCUUGGAUAGUCACUGUGAGGUGAAUAGAGUCUGGCUAGAACCCUUGCUGCAUGCCAUUGCUAAGGAUCACAAAAUGGUGGUAUGCCCUAUUAUCGAUGUCAUCAAUGAAUUAACCUUGGAUUAUAUGGCGGCACCUAUUGUAAGGGGAGCUUUUGACUGGAAUCUGAAUCUCAGAUGGGACAAUGUUUUCGCAUAUGAGUUGGACGGCCCAGAAGGACCAAGUACACCUAUCCGGUCACCUGCAAUGACAGGAGGAAUUUUUGCUAUAAACAGACAUUAUUUUAAUGAACUUGGACAAUAUGACAACGGCAUGGAUAUUUGUGGAGGAGAAAAUGUGGAACUUUCGCUAAGAUUAUGGUCUUGUCUAGAUCUGGAUGUGUGGAGGCCAGCUCUUCAUACUCCCUUGCUCUCGGGUUGGAUAUAACAGUAAGGCGCUGAGUCAACACAGGCGUGCAAACCAGAGUGCCUUGUCAAGGAAUUUACUGCGAGUGGUUCACGUCUGGCUAGAUGAAUACAAGGGAAACUUUUUUCUUCAAAGACCUUCUUUGACAUACGUUUCCUGUGGAAAUAUUAGUGAGCGCGUGGAAUUAAGGAAACGCCUGGGUUGCAAGUCAUUCCAGUGGUAUUUGGAUAAUAUCUUUCCAGAGUUGGAGCCAUUUAACACAGAGAGGAAAAGGAAAAAAAAUCGUUUCUAGUUAGUGAAGGGUGAAAAUGUCCCCUAAUUCUUCAACAUCUCGCACCACAGGACAAAUCUGGAGCAUCAUGCAACUAUGUAAAAUGCAAUGAAAAAUACAUUCAGAGUGGCCAGUC